rnacentral:rRNA from 1 species
UACGUAGGAGGCAAGCGUUGUCCGGAAUCACUGGGCGUAAAGCGCGUGUAGGCGGAUGUCUAAGUCUGUCGUGAAAGCGCCUGGCUUAACCGGGCGAGGUCGAUGGAAACUAUGCGUCUAGAGGCCGGUAGAGGGGGGUGGAAUUCCGGGUGUAGUGGUGAAAUGCGUAGAGAUCCGGAGGAACACCAGUGGCGAAGGCGGCCCCCUGGGCCGCGCCUGACGCUGAGACGCGAAAGCGCGGGGAGCGAACGGG